GCGUCGCCGCCUGCCUCCUCUCCUCCCCGCGACCCCGCACCACGUCUUCUCCCAGGCGCCCACUCGCCCCGCCCCCGAUUGAACCCUAGUCGCACUCCUCGCUGGCCAUCCUCCCCGCCCACGGCCGCCACGCGCAUCGCCGCCAGAGGGCGCCGCCGGUUGUGGGCGCGCCUCCGCGGAUUCGCGCCGCGGUUGCCGGAGGCGUGGGCGCCGCGGGUCAACCUCCUCGGGGACGAUGGGCGUGGCCCCGCCGUCCCGCCCUGCCCGCCGUGGCUGCCAUGUACGAGCUCGAGCUCGACUGGGGAGCAAGGGGCUGCCCCGCCCGUCCCGCUCGCCAUGGUCAUGGCCAUGGCCGAUGACCGCGGCCCCGCCCGCCGCGGCGGCCAUGGACGAGCUCGAGCUCGAUGGGGGAGCAACGGGGAGAGGAACGUGAGGCUAUGGGGGAGUAAGAAGAUGGCCCCCUCGUUCUUGCCGUCAGUUCGUCGCUCGAUCUGUGCCAGCCUGCUGCGUCAAAUGUGAUGGAUUCGUUGUGCGACGCCGGUGUUCCUUGUUCUUGCCGUCGUUGCGCUAGAUCUGAUGGUGCGUUCAUCAAUUUGUGGGUGCUCGUUCUUCUCGUCAGUUCGUCGCUCGAUCUGUGCCAGCCUGCUGCGUCUUCAUCCAGGGAUGUGCAGGCUGGCCAAUGAGAGGCAAAGGGUAUUAUUCCCUGGUUGGAUUUAUGUGGUGUCCUAUCUUCCUUAAUUCCUGGAUUAUAGCUAAAAGAGAGCUGACUAGGCCCGCCUGGGAGAGCAGGCCUCCACUCGCGUCGCGCCCUUUCCUCUCCCUGCCGCCUCGCCUCUCUUCCUGCCUGCUUGUUGCCCCGGUCGUCUUUGAUGGUGCUCCUAGAUGUGCUAUACAUCACCUCCUCAUCUCCUUGGCCACUUCGGUGCCCAUGGCUUUCGUGCUCGUCGGCGGGAUGGUGCAAGGCGCAACUCCGACGUGGUUCCUCACUGGUUGGAUGGCGUUCAGGCGCAACCCCGGUGCCCUCUGAGUACUGCCUCGGCUACAACCUCCCUCUGUGAGCUCCAUCUUCCCCUGCUCUGCUUCGGCUACUAUAUGGGACAUGGACAAGGCUAUGAUGAUCAGUUAUGGCUGAUAUAGGCAUGCUCUCAAGCAGUCGAGGCACUCUCGUUUCUUUGAGCUGUUUUGAUCACGUUCUUAUUUUAGUGGCUCUGUCCUUGGAUGGUCAUUUCUAAUGAGUGAUAACCAGGGCAGGUAAACCCUCGUAAGAACAUAUUGAUCCGGUGAUCCAUCCAGAAAUCCAGAAAUAAGAGAAGGAUGUCUCACCGAGCUCUCACAGCGAUUAGGGACUCUCGGCCGUCGGAUCGGUUUGCUUGAUGCGAUUCUGGGCGACGGAUCUUGCUCCGGAUUGUUCUCGCCAUCUCGGCCGUUGGAUCGAGCCUGAACUCCUGCAGUAAUGAAUAGUUACUCCCAAAAUGAGAUAUCUCGUGCCACCACGUUUGAAUCACGUGCCCCAUCGGUCGGAAGCCAUUCUUGCUAGGGCGAUGAUGAUUAGCCGUGGGUAUCAAGUUGGGUCCUCCCUCUUGUCUCUAGAAUCCUUUUUGAUCCUGUGAUACUUAUUGUUCUGCCCUUUGGAUGGUCAUUCUUAUUGAGUGAUAACCAGGGCAGCUCCACUGUAUAAACAGAUUGAUCUGGUGAUAAGAGAUGAUGGGGGUAGAUUAUAUGAUCGAGGAAAGGAAAAUCUGAGCCCAUAUGCAUUGAAUCCUAAACCCUUUUUAUUCGCACGUGCCCCACCGGUCGGAAGCCAUCCUUGCUAGGGCGAUGAUGAUUCGCUGUGGCUGAAAUAAGUGUGCCUUUGAGCAAUCAAGGCACCUGUGGGUAUCAAGUUGGGUCCUCCCUCUUGUCUCUAGAAUCCUUUUUUAUCAUGUGAUACUUAUUGUUCUGUCCUUGGAUGGUCAUUCUUGUUGAGUGAUAACCAGGGCAGCUCCACUGUAUAAACAGAUUAAUCUGGUGACAAGAGAUGGCGGGGGUAGAUUAUAUGAUCGAGGAAAGGCAAAUCUGAUCCCACUAUGCAUUGAACCCUGAACCCUUUUUAUUUGUAUUUAAAGGUGUUGCUUAUUUAUGCUCCAGUGUUUAUAGCCGUCUUAUGUGAAUAUUUCUUCUCUCUCAUACCUUUAUUGCAUAUAAGUUGUUCUUGACUUUUAUUGUUUGUUGUUGGUCCUUGAUUUCAUCUGGUUAAGAGUAAGCAAGUUGUCGGUUCAAUGGCUUGUUUUAAUUUGUUGAUAAACCAGCAGAAACCACAGUGUCAUGUUUCUAAUAACAGCGUCUUUAGGCUGGUUAAUGUUUGUAUUGGAGACCACUACCUUUUAUUUCGCUUGUUUCUUACCAUCUUCCUUGCUUCUCUGGCUGUUUCACGGUUGGGACGGUGGCAUGGCGUUGGGGCUGUCUUGCGGGUCGGCCGGAGAGGGAGCACACCGAGUGGGCUUCUAAGAUGGCUGAGGUCACCAGCUACAGCUAGCCCAACGUCAUACAGGUGUAACAAGGAACACAUACGAGGAGUGGACGAUGCCAGAGGUGAGGUUCUACUGUGGAGUGCCAGGUUGGUUGCCAUGGGAGGAUCUGGCUAGCUUUGCUAAGGAAGGAAGGGUUAAAGGAACUUGAAGCAGACAUUGGUUGUGGUCCUCUGGAGUUGUUGCAGUUGCACGGCCAGCCGCCGAUUUUGGGAUCUUGCCAGAUAUGUUGAUGUGUUCUUCUGUAGGUUCGUCCAUCGUUCGCACGUGCUCGCUGUUCUUGUCGGUUCGUCGUUCGAUCUGUGCCAGUCUGUUGGGUCUUCGUCCGGUGCUUUGCAGGUCGACCCCUUUCCAAGGUUUACGAGUCGACAAGUCGACGAGUCGUUCCGAGGUUGCACAUCAUUACAAAUUCUACAUGAUCAAUGCGCUUAUCUGUGAAUGAGCACAAGAGGAAGACAAAGGAAGAAUACAUGCAAUUAACAAUACAAAUGGGGAUUAAUCUACCCUAAGUAAAGACUGGAUGUUCUUUUUAUGAGGCUAUAUUUAUCCCUGUAGGAUGUUCCCUAUAACUCCGAAAUCUGAAGAUACAAAUUAGUAAUUAUCAAUUGAUAUUUAACAUCACAUUUGGUAGUGGAAGAUUUAGUAAAAUAAGUACUGCCAGGUUAGAGUUUGGUGCCAGGGUCGUUGCUGGGUGUGUGGCUACUUCUCCUUCGGAUUCGGCUACUGUCUCAGGUGGUUCGCUACAAGCUUUAAUAAUAAAUUUCCUUUGGAUGGUUCACAUUUUAGUUGAGAAACAACUGUGGUGACACAAUGGCCGCAUGGAGGUGGCUGCAUUGUCGACAACGGUGGAGGACAAGGGAAGAGAUAAUAGACCAACACAUUUUUGUGGUGGAGCUCUAGGAACAUUCUGUAGACCAAGUAUUUGUUCUCGCAAUUGCUGCUUUAAAUUCAUCUGGUGCUUUGGUUUGAGCUUCUUUAGUCUCCAAAUUGUAUGCAAGGCAGACAUGUUCCAUUCACAUGGAGACUCACCACUGAUGGUCGAUUGACGUCGAGACUCGAGAAUCAUUUGCUUCAGCCCUGAUGACCAGUUAUCCAGAUGCCAAGAUGUUUUGACGAAGUUUAUAUUGCUAUGCCAUAUUAAAAUAGUGCUCUUAGAUUGGCUCAAACUACUACUAUGGCCUGCUUGUGUUAUGUCGUACUAAACCAUCUUGAUUCUCUUGGUAGUUUCGGCUGCAUUUUCUACCACACUCCCCAAACUAAUUUAAAGGAAACAUACAUGAGUUGCUUGAUGUCAGUUUACUAAUCUUGCCUUCUUGAUAGUUCCUUUUUAGUCACUGUAGAUAUCAAUUUUUGUAAAAAUGUUGAGAUAUCCUCUCCAGGAAUAUGGUUUUUUCAUCACUUUCAGGCCAACGUUACUCAACUUUUCUUUGAGCGACGAGGAACUUCAACCAUUCUUGGCGAAGGACUGCUAUCUGAUUGUCACUAGCCCCCUGUGUAAAUGCUUCGCUUUCAAUAUUUUGUACUAUCUCGCUGCCCUAUGUGCUACUCAAGCCUGAUCUAUUAAACAUUACUUGGUUUAUUCCUUUGUGCCGA